rnacentral:rRNA from 1 species
CCUACGGGAGGCUGCAGUGGGGAAUAUUGCACAAUGGGGGAAACCCUGAUGCAGCGACGCCGCGUGAAGGAAGAAGUAUUUCGGUAUGUAAACUUCUAUCAGCAGGGAAGAAUAUGACCGGACCUGACUAAGAAGCCCCGGCUAACUACGUGCCAGGAGCCGCGGUAAUACGUAGGGGGCAAGCGUUAUUCGGAUUUACUGGGUGUAAAGGGAGCGGAGGCGGUUUAGCAAGUCAGAAGUGAAAGCCCGGGGCUUAACUUCGAGACUGCAGUUGAAACUGUUGAACUUGAUUGCAGGAGAGGUUAGUGGAAUUCCGAGUGUAGCGGUGAAAUGCGUAGAUAUUAGGAGGAACACCAGUGGCGAAGGCGGCCAACUGGACUGUAAAUGACGCUGAGGCUCGAAAGUGUGGGGAGCAAACAGGAUUAGAUACCCUGGUAGUC